GGGGGCGUAGCUCAGUUGGUAGAGCGUUGGCUUUGCAAGCCAAAAGUCAGCGGUUCGAGUCCGCUCGUCUCCA
rfam:Candidatus Chloracidobacterium thermophilum B chromosome 1, complete sequence.